CCAAUUUUAUUUGUCAUAAAUUCGUAGUUGUUUCGUCACCGAUAGAAGAUUUUGGAGAUAAAAUAACUCCAAUAGUUAUUUUUUAAACUACUCUACCUUUAUAAACAAAUGGAAAUUUAUUUCUCGUAACAAAAAUUAGUAGACUCACCAACCAGCAUACCAAAGUAUCAUGAUCAAUUUCUUCUAGCAUUCUUUUCACUACAUAAACAAACAGUAGUUGUUUACAUAUUUUGAGUAGUUUAUUAGUUGGGUUUAAGGGUUUAUUCAAUAAGAAUUUCAUGAUUGAUUAGUUAUAGUGGCGAUUUCUAGGUAGGCCUUGAAUGGUUAAAGUUUUUCAAAUGGUUUUUGGUUUUACAUUUCCCAAAAAUCUAUUUUUUAACUAUUCAAGAUUCUGAAAAAAGUGGAUUCCCUAAAAAAUAGGGAAUCUAGAUUGGAAAAUAUGUCAAAAAAAAAUUAUGAACUUUUAAAUUUGGGACGAUUUAAUCAUGAACUACGAAGAACACAUAUAAAUCGUAAAGUUUUUGUUGACUUUAAAAUUAAUUAACAAAGUUUGGUUGACUAGCCAUUUUAGACAUAACUUUAAGUAGGCUAACAGAAAACGAUUACGGUGUUAAACUCCCAUUAACUUCGAGACCACCUCCAUCGUCUGCUUGUUCCUCAGACCAUCUCGAUCGUUUACUUCUGCCUUGACACCUCCUCCAUCAUUUACUUCUGCCUCGACACCACCUACAUCGUUUUCUUCUGCCUCGACACCACCUCCUUCAUUUUCUUGUGGAACAUAUACCAUGUCCCAUUGUCCCUCUUCACCAACUUCUUCGUUGUUCAACAAAGGGAGCGCGAGAGAAAUUCUAGUGUUAAGGAAUGAAAUUGAUUUGGGAAUUUAGGUUUAAGUUUCCCCAAAUCGUCGAAACGACGUCGUUUUGUCGCUACAAUAAACGAUAUCGUUUUGACAUAACAGAGAAGAAAAACGGGAGUUUAAUACCGUAAUCGUUUUCUGUUAACCUACUUAAUGCUAUGACUAAAAUGGCUAGUCAACCAAACUUUGUAAGUUAAUUUUAAAGUCAACAAAAACUUUACGAUUUAUGUCUUUUUCGUAUUUCAUGAUUAAAUCGUCCCAAAUUUGAAAGUUCAUGAUUUUUUUGACAAUUUUUUCCCAAUCUAGAUUCUAAGAGUUUUUAUUAAUUUCUUAACAAAAUUCAAAAUUUCAUUCAAUGGAUUUUUGAGAAUUUUCUCUACGAGAUCUUUUUAUCUCAAUAUUUCAUUUGUUUACUUAUUUUAUUUUUACAAAAUGCAAAAACCAAAAACAAAAAUCUGAAAUCUAUAAUCUAAAAACCUCCUAAAAUCCCCUAACAUUCAUGGCCUUAAUCUUAGUGCAUCUGAUUUGUGUCAUGAAUUAGUUGUUAUUCCAAGAAAAUAGGCCCAUGAUAAGUGCAGUUUUAUUUACUUGAAUCUAAACUAAGACAAGCUUGAUCUCAUAACCUCUGAAAAUCAAGUUUUAUGGUGUUCUUGUGAAUCGACAGAAGAUUGAAUAUUUAUAACAUCGUAUUUUCUUCCAUAUUGUCUAUGUUUUUAUUAGGAUUUCAAGUGAUUUUGGUAUCUUCAAAGAUACUUUCAAUUGAUUUUAUUGGUUUUUGAGAAAAAAGAGAAAAAGACGACCAAAACUCUGUUUCAGGACAGUUUCAAAGCUUCUGAAGUCUGGUGUCCGUUGAAAGCCUUCCCAUGCCCCAAAUCGAGAUAUCUUGGAGAGUAUGGAAAACUAGAAGAGUCAAGAUUUUUCUCAAAGUAGUAGAAUGGCAUACAUCCAUUGAGUUAUUUGAAAGAUAGGACCAGAAGAGUGAAGCCAUGUUUCGUACCUAUCACUAGGACUGUGACGGGGCUGAAGCUCCUCUUUGCACCAUUCACAGCUCGCGUCCCCGGGCUUAGCUCUACUCUAGGGACCGGUCACAGCCCAUGCUACCGCGUACCGGUCUGAUUGCUUUGCGUCCCGCCUAUAAAAGCCCAGACCGUCCUAGAAAUAAAAAGGAACAGGGGCAUAAAGUGUGACGACGAUAUAUAAAUAACUUCAUAAAAAUUAUUUAGUUACUUGAAAAGAUUCGAUUUUUGAUUACGGUAGCCGCCUCCCUAGAACUGGGUGCCUUAUUUGACUUGCCAUCUUCCACCACAUUUUUUUAACUUCAAAAUAAAUAUAAGUUAGGAAGAAAAACAGAGCUUCUUUCUAAGAUCAACCCACCAUGGAAGAAGAAGGCACCCAAAUAGGCCGUUGUUAGGCCGUUGUUGGACUACACACGUGUGUGUGUGUGUGUGUAUGUACGCCUUUUGAGUUGUUAUAAAGCAGAGUAAUUAGUUUACAAAAGUGGUGUGUGUGUCAGUGUCACAGGCUUGGGAUCAUAAGCAUGGUGCUGGAAUCUUGAGAGAAACUAAGAGAGACAUGAUUUGCUUUUACGACUUGGUUCAAUGCUUGGAAGGCCAUGGAAGCUCUCUGCGUUACUCAACAUAUUUGCAGUCUCCAUGAUCGCCAUGUUAUCAGUAUUCAUAAUCGACUCUGUAAUCAGGGAACUCAUCUUUGAUCUUGAUGUAGAUGGGUGGUUGGACAAAUUUCUGCAGAAAUCCUUACCAAAGAGAUGUUGUUUCCAGAAUCCGAGUAUGUUUCUUCUUCUCUGCACAAAACAUAUGAAUGUUAAACAACAAAUAAGAAAACUUUAGUUACCUUGUUGAAUGGUUUUGUCACAGAAUAUGAGUUUCAAUGCGUAUAGAGGAAGCUUA
rnacentral:lncRNA from 1 species